rnacentral:rRNA from 1 species
UGAGGAAUAUUGGUCAAUGGAUGGAAAUCUGAACCAGCCAAGUAGCGUGCAGGAUGACGGCCCUAUGGGUUGUAAACUGCUUUUAUGUGAGAAUAAAGUUAGGUAUGUAUACUUAUUUGCAUGUAUCACAUGAAUAAGGACCGGCUAAUUCCGUGCCAGCAGCCGCGGUAAUACGGAAGGUCCAGGCGUUAUCCGGAUUUAUUGGGUUUAAAGGGUGCGUAGGCCGUUUGAUAAGCGUGCUGUGAAAUAUAGUGGCUCAACCUCUAUCGUGCAGCGCGAACUGUUGAACUUGAGUGCGUAGUAGGUAGGCGGAAUUCGUGGUGUAGCGGUGAAAUGCUUAGAUAUCACGAAGAACUCCGAUUGCGAAGGCAGCUUACCGUAACGUUACUGACGCUUAAGCACGAAGGUGCGGGUAUCGAACAGGAUUAGAUACCCUGGUAGUCCGCACAGUAAACGAUGGAUGCUCGCUGUUGGCCUUUGUGGUCAGUGGCUUAGCGAAAGCGUUAAGCAUCCCACCUGGGGAGUACGCCGGCAACGGU